UCCUCAUAUAUUUUACAUAAGUACAACAUUAUUUUUUAUAUUACUUAUUAUACAUUGAUAUUGCUUGUGUACCGUGACUGCGGUUUUUUUCUUUCAUGACAUUUAAAACUUUUAAUAUUUUAUCCAGUUAAUUAGGACUAAACUUGAGCUCUGGAUUAACAACCAUGACAAUCAUGGACAACCAUGGACAACCAGCCUAAACUCUAGUGAAUAUGUCCAUGUAUGUAAUGUGUAAUAUGUAUCUGGGAGCAACCAGCAACGAGCGACUAUUCGGAUCGACUGUACACGUCCGACUACUCUAACUACUCGUACUACUCGUACUCAGUCGUGUAUUGGGGAGAUUGAGGAGAUUGGGGAUGAAACUCGGAGGAAUCGAGCAACAACCAAGUAACGAUGCUGAGCAUGUCGAGCAUGACGAGCAUGACGAGCAUGACGGGUAUAAGCUGAGCAGAACCAAACAAAAGUAGAUGUCACUGUGACACAAUCCUGGUGAUUUUUAUAUAUGACCAGGAGCUUGUUGAUUUUCCAGCAGACGGUAUUAUAUUUUAUAUCAUAUAUUAUAUCAUUAUAUUUUGUAAUUGUUGUUGUUGAUGAUAUAAUAUUUAAAUUAUAUGAAAAUAUAUAUAUUUAAGAGCUGUACAAAAUUUCAUUUCUCAGAAAUUUUAUGGAGACAAAAGAUUUAAAAAAAAUUAAAAAAACUGACAACCGUACAAUUAAAAAAAAAUAAUAAUCUUUUAAUCAGCAGAGUAUUGCGUGCAAAAAGUCUGGACUAAAAUUAUUAUCAAUUAAAAAUGAUGUUCAGGAAGCGGGAACACUAUUAUGGGCGAUGAUGAACUAAAAUUAACGGAGCUAGCAGGAAUAAGUGUGUUGGGAAUAAUUUUUUUUGAUGGUUGGACUCUUCCUCGAGACACUACGCACCAACAACUUUCCUUAAUUUUAAAUGUGCAAUCGCCCUGAAGCUAUGGCUAUAUGCUGAGUGAGGAUCACCAAUGCGCUUAAAACUUUUUAGUGAGCGGAAACGAAUAAUAAUUCGUUGAGUCCCUCCUAUCGACGAGUGUAUCACACCCAAGACCCGAAACACCGCCUGAAACCUAGUUGUAAUCAUCAUCAUCAUCAUCAUCAUCAUUAUCAACAUAAAAAUAUAUACAAUAUAAACACGACAGUUGAUAGUAAAUUUAUGUCUCUAACUGUAUUAUAUAUCUUAAUUAAAUUAUGAUCAAGAUAGUUGAUAAAAAAUAAAAAAAAGACUAGAAAAAAUAAUUACAGUCUAACAUUGUUACAAUAUUGAGUCGGAAAAAAAAAAUGAUUAGAGUCGAGGUUCUCCCACUGUCAUGUUUGACGGUAAAUUAAAGUUGAAGAAAAAUCGAGCAACAAUAGAGCACCCUCAGUGCUUUCAUCGCGCCUAAGGUGUGCAAUAACCAAUGCUAUGAUUAUGAUUGCUAUGGCCAGCUGAAGCAUUGGAAAUUUAUUAAAUCGGACGAGGCAGGUCUUGGCAUUCGAGUGUUGAAAUCCCGGGACUCGUACUAAAUUUUAUAUGCGCAAAUCAGCUGAACAAAAAUCUACUUGUUACUUUUGAAUGUCUUCAAACCCUUUUCCAAACCAUUUGUUGGCCUCUAUUAAAAAAAAAUACUAAAAAUUUUUUUGUACAUAUAUAUAAAUAAUAUACAAGGUCGGAGGUCUGGAAAUAAUUGUACCUCAAACUUUUGGCGCCGGGUAAUAUUAGAAUCUGACAAAAAGC